rnacentral:rRNA from 1 species
CCUACGGGCGGCUGCAGUGGGGAAUAUUGGACAAUGGGCGAAAGCCUGAUCCAGCCAUGCCGCGUGUGUGAAGAAGGCCUUCGGGUUGUAAAGCACUUUCAGUGGGGAAGAAAGCCUUGGGGCUAAUACCCUCGAGGAAGGACAUCACCCACAGAAGAAGCACCGGCUAACUCCGUGCCAGCAGCCGCGGUAAUACGGAGGGUGCGAGCGUUAAUCGGAAUUACUGGGCGUAAAGCGCGCGUAGGCGGUCUGAUAAGCCGGUUGUGAAAGCCCGGGCUCAACCUGGGAACGGCAUCCGGAACUGUCAGGCUAGAGUGCAGGAGAGGAAGGUAGAAUUCCCGGUGUAGCGGUGAAAUGCGUAGAGAUCGGGAGGAAUACCAGUGGCGAAGGCGGCCUUCUGGACUGACACUGACGCUGAGGUGCGAAAGCGUGGGUAGCAAACAGGAUUAGAUACCCCUGUAGUC